CCUACGGGCGGCAGCAGUGAGGAAUACUGGUCAAUGGCCGGAAGGCUGAACCAGCCAUGCCGCGUGAAGGUCAGUACCCUAUGGGCGUUAAACUUCUUUUGUGCGGGAGCAAUAAUGGUCACGUGUGGCCAGACGAGAGUACCGUACGAAUAAGCAUCGGCUAAAUCCGUGCCAGCAGCCGCGGUAAUACGGGGGAUGCAAGCGUUAUCCGGAUUUAUGGGGUUUAAGGGGUGCGUAGGCGGUGAGUUAAGUCAGCGGUUAAAUUCCCCCGCUAAACGGGGUGAAGUGCCAUUGAUCCUGCCGUGCUGGAAUGCGGAUGCCGUGGGAGGAAUGUGUGGUGUAGCGGUGAAAUGCAUAGAUAUCACACAGAACACCGAUUGCGAAGGCAUCUCACGAAUCCGCGAUUGACGCUGAUGCACGAAAGCGUGGGUAUCAAACAGGAUUAGAUACCCUUGUAGUC
rnacentral:rRNA from 1 species